UCGCAGGGGCUUAUCGCGACCGCCCCGUGAGGCGUCAGCCCAAGGAUCGCGUCCACACUCCUUGCUCAAGGAUGGACGCUCAUG
rfam:Bosea sp. Root483D1 contig_5, whole genome shotgun sequence.